UACGUAGGGGGCAAGCGUUGUCCGGAAUUAUUGGGCCUAAAGCAUCCGUAGCCGGUCCUGCAAGUCUUCCGUUAAAUCCAGCUGCUCAACAGAUGGGCUGCGGAGGAUACUACAGGGCUAGGAGGCGGGAGAGGCAAGCGGUACUUUAUGGGUAGGGGUAAAAUCCGUUGAUCCAUAGAAGACCACCAGUGGCGAAGGCGGCUUGCCAGAACGCGCUCGACGGUGAGGGAUGAAAGCUGGGGGAGCAAACCGG
rnacentral:rRNA from 1 species